GGGGACACCAAGCUGCCCUCGUUACAGCAAACUUGAAGACAGAGAAACAGCCAACCAGGAUAGUGUCUGCGCGCGGGGCUCGGUUGGUGCCCUUGAGCGUCGUGUUCCUAAAACAAAAUGAAGCGGUCGUAAAAGUGGCCGUGUGGAGGGAGGCGACCUUGACCCCGAUCAAGGUUGGGGCCUUCUACAGUUUCACGCACCUUCGUGC